AGGUAAACGCAGAGAUGUCGCUUAGGAUGGGCCGCGUCCAUUAGCUAGUUGGUGAGGUAAGGCUCACCAAGGGCUGCGAUGGGUAGCCGGCUGAGAGGGUGGACGGCCACACUGGGACUGAGACACGGCCCAGACUCUACGGGAGGCAGCAGUAGGGAAUUUUCCGCAAUGGACGGAAGUCUGACGGAGCGACGCCGCGUGGGGGAAGAAGGCCUUCGGGUUGUAAACCUCUGUCUUCAGGGACGAAGAGGGUGUGGGAGACACACCGAAGCCGGUACCUGAGGAGGAAGCCCCGGCUAACUACGUGCCAGCAGCCGCGGUAAUACGUAGGGGGCGAGCGUUGUCCGGAAUCACUGGGCGUAAAGGGCGUGUAGGCGGCGUUUUAAGUUAGGCGUGAAAGACCCCGGCUCAACCGGGGGGUUGCGUCUAAAACUGGGAUGCUUGAGUGCAGGAGAGGAGAACGGAAUUCCCGGUGUAGCGGUGAAAWGCGUAGAWAUCGGGAGGAACACCAGUGGCGAAGGCGGUUCUCUGGCCUGUAACUGACGCUGAGGCGCGAGAGCUGGGGGAGCGAACAGGAUUAGAUACCCUGGUAGUCCCAGCCGUAAACGAUGGAUACUAGGUGUAGGAGGUUUCGACGCCUUCUGUGCCGGAGUUAACGCAAUAAGUAUCCCGCCUGGGGAGUACGGCCGCAAGGCUGAAACUCAAAGGAAUUGACGG
rnacentral:rRNA from 1 species